rnacentral:rRNA from 1 species
AAGAACGAAAGUUAGAGGUUCGAAGGCGAUCAGAUACCGCCCUAGUUCUAACCAUAAACGAUGCCAGCCAGCGAUCCGGCUGUGUUCCUCAAAUGACACGCCGGGCAGCUUCCGGGAAACCAAAGCUUUUGGGUUCCGGGGGGAGUAUGGUUGCAAAGCUUAAACUUAAAGGAAUUGACGGAAGCGCACACAAGGAAUGGGGCCUGCGGCUUAAUUUGACUCAACACGGCGAAACUCACCCGGCCCGGACACAGGAAGGAUUGACAGAUUAAGAGCUCUUUCUUGAUUCUGUGAUAGGUGGUGCAUGGCCGUUUCUAGUUGGUGGAGUGAUUUGUCUGCUUUAUUGCGAUAACGAGCGAGAUUCCAGCCUGCUAAAUAGACGAGCCGAUCAUUUAAAGUCGGACGUUCUUCUUAGAGG